UUUUUUAUAAAAAUAAUUUAUUUAUUUAAGGUUUUAGUAUUUAUUAAAAAUUAAUUUAUAGAUUUAUAGUUAAUUAGUAUUGUAAAAGAAAUUAUUAAAUUAAAAAAAGAAUAUUAUUAGUACCUUUUGUAUCAGGGUUGAUUAAAAUUUUUAAUUUUUUUUUGAUUUCUCAAAAUUUAUAGAGUUAAUUUUAUUAUUAAUUUAUUGUGUUAUAAAUAUUUAAAAAAUAAUAUUAGUUUUGAAAUUUAAUUCGUUAUAUUAUAUUUAGUUAUUCAAGAUUUAAAUUUAAUUUAAAAUUUUAAAAGUUAUAUUAAUUUUAUUGAUUUAUAUUUUAAAUUUAAAUUAUUUUAGGGAUAAGCUUGAAAUUUUUAUAUAAUAAUUUAUUUAUUUUAAUAAUUUAUAGGAAUAGAAAUUUUUAUUUUAAGUUUGUAAAAAUUUAUUAUUUAUUUAAUUUUAAUUUAUUAUAGUUAUAUUUAUUUUUUUUAUUAAAUUUUAUUGAUUAAUAUUUAAUCAAUAGUAAUAAUGAUUAAAUUAGUAUAAUAUUUAUUUAUGAAUUAUGAAUUCGGCAAAAAUUAUUUUCAUCUGUUUAACAAAAACAUUGUAUUAAGUUUAAUUUAAUAUAGGAUCUGCUCAAUGAUUUAUUAAAUAGCUGCAGUAUUUUGACUGUGCAAAGGUAGCAUAGUAAUUAGUCUUUUAAUUGAGGACUUGUAUGAAAGAUUUGAUGAGAAAUAGACUUUAUUAUUUAUAUAAUUAAAAUUUUAUUUUUAAGUAAAAAAGCUUAAAUUAUUUAAAGGGACGAUAAGACCCUAUAAAACUUUAUAAAUUUAAUCUUAAUUUUUUUGGAUUUAUAAGUAUUUUAUUAUAAAAAUUUAUUUUAUUGGGGUGAUAAAAAAAAUUAAUAAACUUUUUUUAAAUUUAACAUUAUUUAGUGAAUUUUUGAAUUAAAAUUUUUAAUUAAAGGAAAAAGUUACUUUAGGGAUAACAGCGUAAUUAAUUUUUUAAGUUCAAAUUUAAAAAUUAGUUUGCGACCUCGAUGUUGAAUUAAGAUUAGUCUUAGGUGCAAAAUUUUAAGUUUUAGGUCUGUUCGACCUUUAAA
rnacentral:rRNA from 1 species